AUGCAAGCUGACUUGUGUUCAGGAACCUGAUGAAUAGCUCAAAAUAUGGCUCAAAGGUGUACUGCCUGCAGCCAAGCAGCUAUUGACAAUCGCUACAUUUAUAGGUGAAUCUAAGAAUGAUACACAGCAUGUGUUAUUGAUGCCACGAUGAUCUUGGUGUUCCUAUGACUCAUAUAUCAGAAGGUAAGG